UUCUUCUUGCACACUGACUCACAACACUUAACUUCACAGUACAGACUUUAACAACACUUACUCGUUUUGGUGGUAAAAUAUUUGAAUCAUUUGUAAUCAUACUUGCCACUAUAUACUUUUAGCACUCGAAACAGUCCAUAUAUAAAAAGUGAAAUUAGAGAGCUGAACCAUUAUUUUGUCAUCGACCUUGGACUCAUAACUACGAUUACUCCAACAGUAUUUUAUGACGGAGCAUUCCCGGAAAGCUCGUCAAUUCUCGAAUAGCUGAAAUAGCUCUCAUGGAGCUGUCCCUCGGUCUGCAGCGCAGCGACUGGCACACAAUGCUAACCUGAAUAACUGUUAAUCAAACCUCAGUCUGUAUCUACUGUUACUUUAACAACGUAAUUUGUUUGAUAUUUAACAGCAAAAUAAAAUAUGGUUUAGGUGGUG